GACUGCACGGAAAAAUCGAUUUUUCCGUGCGGUCCUCUUAAAUGAACCGCACGGAAAAAUGAGCCGAUUUUUCCGUGCGGAC
rnacentral:pre_miRNA from 10 species